rnacentral:rRNA from 1 species
UACGUAGGCAGCGAGCGUUGUUCGGAGUUACUGGGCGUAAAGAGUGCGUAGGCGGUUUUCUAAGUUUGGUGUGAAAUCUCCCGGCUUAACUGGGAGGGUGCGCCGAAAACUGGAAGGCUUGAGUAUGGGAGAGGUAAGCGGAAUUCCUGGUGUAGCGGUGAAAUGCGUAGAUAUCGGGAGGAACACCAGUGGCGAAGGCGGCACUCUGGGCCGGAACUGACGCUGAGGAGCGAAAGCGUGGGGAGCGAACAGG